rnacentral:ncRNA from 3 species
GGUACUUGUACACGUUGCGGUGCAACGAUGGUUAAAG